CAUGCAUUGAGAUUUGAUCUCAUCUAUGGAUAACAAUGGAACCCCAUUUUCAUCAUUUGCUGAAAUAAGAACAUCUAGCAAGUCCUGGUCCUUGUGAGCUUCCUUUUUGUUGUCAUGAUGACGUCUCCGUUGGUGUACUCUCUCAUCUAUAAUGGAAUCGUGAUACUUGUUGGCAGUUUUCAUGGCCGCACUUACUUUCUCAUUUUCUUCCAUUGUUGACCCCAUGGCACGACUGCCACUGACAGGAAUCCACGGCUAGAGUACUCUGUCCCCAUUGUGAGCGGCCUCGUUGCAAAAAUUGAGUCGUUAUCUUUUAGAACUUCCAAGGCAAUUUCUGGGGAAGUCACUGGAAUCACAUGAACAUUUCCAAGCCGGAUGCAAGAAAUGUUGGUUUUAAGUUCUUUCAUCACACUGUGUAUCCAUUUGAAGGCCGGCUUAUUCCUCCAAAUCUCUGGAAGGUUUCCGACUAUUGGCCACGCAGCCGGGCCUGGGGGCAGAGGUGGUUGCUUCAUUCUUUUCUGGUCCGUACUCUGCUGGACAAAUUCAUUCAUUUUCAAUCAAAUUAGUUUAUAUGUUGAAUAAAAAUAUACAAUUAUUGUUCCUAAUAAAUAAGUAAGGGAAAUCGAAAAAUAAAUAUAGUAUACCUUGAACAGUUGAUUCUGAACGAAUGAAUACAUGUCCAUCACAUACUUCCGAAUAGUUUCGGAUUUCAGCUGAAAGCUUAUUAGUGUAACAACGGCAACAAGUAGUGUCACCCGAACAAUAUAUGUGGAUUCAAAAAUGGGAUUAUCUUCAAGAUAAGAAAGGAAAUCCAUAAUAUUAAUGAAGGCACUUUUUGGAUUCAAGAGUAAAGCCAAACGAUUUGUGGCUAUCAAAACAAAAAAGCAAUUAAUAUUAUUCUUGAUGGAUAUUGAUUGAAUGAAGAGGGGGUUCUCCAUUCGUCAUUAUAUAUAGAAGGGUGGUACGGGGUUGUCAAGUUCAACGAAACUCAUGAACAACGUUUUCGACAUGCAACUUGACGCAUAAUUCGUCUGUAUCCAUAUUAAGAAUUAAAAUUAGUCAUGUGGCGAUUUGUCUUCGGUCAUCACUGACCAACAGUCUAUUACAAAACUUAUUUUAAUUCCUUGAUGAAGUUCUCAUGACUUCUAGUGAAAGGAAUAUAUUCCACAGAUAGUUAAUUAAUUAGAGGGGAGAUUCAAUAUUGGCAACAAGAAAAGAAAAAUUCAAAUUAUCAUUUUAUUAAGAUUAUCAUUAUUCUGGUUCUAUUCUCACAGUUUAUUAUAUCUUGCUUUCUUUUAUCAAUUUUUUUUUUAUGUAGUCAUGCUUCAUUCCUUCAAGGUGGUUUCACAUCUUCAAUAUUGGCUGUGAUGGGCGGAUUGAUUGUUAUCUUGGUUGAUAGAAUAAUCGAUGGAUUGUGCGACGAUGGUGGGUGGACAGUGGAGGAGUGAUCUCUAAGAAAAAAGAAAGAAAAGCAUAGUUUAUGCAUUCGAUAGAUUUUACGCUGUGACUAUAUAUAUAAUGGCUAUUAUAGCCAUAAAUCUUCUUUUUCUCUUUUUUUUAAGGGAAUAAUUUGAAGAAUAGAUAAAUAUCUUUUUUUUUUUUGGUACAAUAAGUAGCCCAAACAAAGCUAAGCAAGAUAAAUAUGUUUUAGGGUUAUUUUAGGGACCUCCCCUGAAGUUUAGUGUAUUUACAGUCGGAUAGAAAGUAUCCACGUAAUUACAAGCACCUUCCCUACCGUUAGUAUCCAAUUAGUUUGACUGUUAGUAGACCGUUAAAAUUACAAAAGUACUAUUCCCCUCAAAAUAAUAAGUUUUUUUUUUCAGACUGGUUCUCCAUUUUCAUUGAAAUUUUCUCUCACUUCCUCUCACUUUUUCUUGACCUCCAAACAAAAACAUUUUUUAAUUAUUCAUCAGUAAACAAUAGGAUAACAAGAUGCAGCAAAGCAAGCAAAACUUUAAAACUACAUCAAAUACAAAAAGAUCCACACAGCCCCAUCCAUAACCUUAUUCAAAUCCCAAAUGGUCUGCAAUCAACUGAAACUAAUCUGUUUCUUUCCUCCAACUUUCCCACCACCCAAACACACACUCCUACGAAAUUUAAACCACAUCCUAGUACAGAUCAAUCUCAGUUACAAUUACACAAGUACCGGCUUGCUUCAAAGUAGCAACACAACCAUUGCCAACAUCACCAUAACCGCAAACAACAACAACAUUUCCGGCAAUCAUAACAUCAGUAGCUCUCAUCAAACCAUCGAUGGAAAACAAAACAAUAAAAUGGAUCAUCAACCACGUCAAAAAAUGAAGAUGAUUAAAAUAAUGAUCUAUCGAUCAUGUCGAACGGCAACCAUUGAUGAUGACGUGGGGAAGUAAUUGUGGUACCUACUGCCGUAUAACACAGUGGAUCGACGCCGUUGGAGCAUGCCGUAGUAUCAGAGAGCCGACGUCAGAACUAAAAUUAGGUUGACGAAUAAGCAUGCAAAUUGUCGAAACACGUACGCGCUCUUUUUGAAAACUACGCUCAUCGUUACCGAUACCGUGUCUUCGAACCUAAUCAUGUCCUCAUUUUCAAUCUUUUCUUUGAGAUCAUGUGCCACUCACUUUGUGCUAGUGUGACAAUGAAUUUGAGAUCUGAAGCAAAUCAAAGUAAAUUACCUUGCUAUUGGUGACAGAGUCAUUGACAUUGAUGGCAUGGAACAAGAGGGUUCCAUUUUCUUGCAUCUGGUACAACCAAUCUGAAACUCGGCGUUGUCAGUGGAGGCCGGGUCGGGUAGCUUCCGAGUCUUCUCGUAGAUCUCCUCAACUUUGACUCUCUCGUGGAUCAACAACAUGGCGUACCACCGUCGUCAAUGAUGAGAUCUGGGCCGCCGCCGGGACCCUAGUCUAGAGCUUUCUCCGUGCACCACCAAUACUCCUAGAGGGUCUCGCCCUUCCAAGCGAAGACGGAGGCAAAGUUACGUACAAUGGCGGCUGCCACGUGGUCUUGGGUUGAGAAGAUAUUGCAGGACCACCAGCGGACUUUGGUGUCGAGAGCGGUGAGGGUUCCGAUGAUGUUGGCUCCUUUGAAGGGCUAUGAAAGGGCCGAAUCAACAAAAUCAUCGCACUUUUGAUUUUUUUAUUUUAAAUAUAUUUUUACACAUUUACCCUUACAUACUGAUGCCAUACGUAUUUGAAUACUAACGUCAGGGGAGAUCCCUGUAAUUAAAUGCAUACUUUCUAUCUGACUGUAAAUACACUAAACCUUAGGGGAGGUCCCUUAAAAUAACCCAUAUAUUUUAUUGUGAUACUUUUUGCCAGAUUUAAAAGAUAAAAAGGAAAGCUAAAAAUUUGACCAAACAUUAUAUUGGUAUCUUAAUUAAUUUCUUGUCGAUAUCCUAGAACCACUAACGCACUUCCACAUCUUCACUCUUUCGGCGCAAAAUAUUAUUCAGCCCCCUAUACUCUAUAUUAUUUACAAUUAUUUAUAAGUAUUAUAAAACUUUCUGUCUAGUAAAAUUUUGUUGAACCCCUUGUACUCUGUUUUAUUUUAAUCAAACUCUUGGAGUACCAAUUUACCCUCUAUACUUUUAAAUUCCCAAAAUACCCUACAUUUAAUUAAAAAAUAUAAUAAUUAUUAAAUAAAUUAUAAUUAUAAUUAUAAUAAUUGUUUAUUAUAAUUAUAUUUUUUAAAUGGAUUAUUAUUAUUAAUAUUAUUAUUAUUAACAAGAAUAAAAAGUAUUAUAAUAAAUUAAUCUAUUAAUUUUUUAGUUAAAAUAUUAAUAAUAAUAAUUAACAAUAAUUACUAUUAAUAAUUAAUUUUUGAAUAAUAAUAACAAUAACAAUAAUUAAAAUACAAAAUAAUAAUUAUGAUAAAAAUUAAUGAAGGAUUUUAUACUAAUUUGUUACAAUUUAAUUUAUUCUGAUUUUUAUUCUAAGACAAAGUAAACACAUAAAUGGUAAUACAACUCAUUCUAAUUAUGAUUCCUGCCGUUCAAGUAAAUAAAUUAUUCUAAUUCCAAUUUCUCAUUUGAAUUCUAGAUAUUUCGAUUUUAGCUUAUUAUGUUUUCAGUUAAUUUUUAUUCAUGUUUAGUGAAUGCACUAUAAAAUUCAUAAUACUUAUAAAAAAACUGUAAAUAAUAUAGAGUGGUCUAAUUGAAUAUAAAUUGAUUUACAAUUUUAUAGUGCAUUCAUUAAAAAUGAAUCGAAAUUAGCUGGAAACAUAAUGAGUUAGAAUUGGAAUAACUAUAAUUAAAAUAAAGAAUUGGAAUUAAAACAAUUUAUUUACUUGAACUGCAUGAAUCGUAAUUAGAAUAAACGGAUGUACGGUACAGCAGACCUGGAGAUUAAGGAAAAACCUAGGCAAACAAAAGUCAAGACAAGAAGAGCAUUCCGAGUCAUGAGAGAGCCAAUUAUUAUUAUUGGCAUUUUAACUAAAAAUUAUUAUUAAUUAUUGUUAAUAGAUUAAGAAAUUUAAAAUUAUAGGGGGUGAAUUAGUACUCUAAUAAAGGUUUCAAUAAAAUAAAACAGAGUAUAAGAGGCUCAAAGACAUUUUACAAGACAAAAAAUUUUAUAAUUCUUAUGAAUAAAUUGUAAAUAAUAUAGAGCAUAUGGGGCUAAUUGAUAUUUUGGGGGUCAGCCGUAAGUUACGCUGAAUGUAACUUAGGCGGACCCCACUCUUAAGGGCUUUUGGUGGAUUCGAGCCAACGACAAGUCAGAUGAUGGUUGGUAGAAGGGAGUUGACUGAAAAUUGUGGGAAAAGACUUAGUGAUGCGACAUUUGGAGUGACCAAUUAAUUGUGAAUUUGAACUGGUCAUCCUUUUUUGCACCUUGUCGCCGUUGUACAACUUGUACUUGCCUGAGGUGAUUAAUUGCUUCAAGCUACAUGAAAACGAUGCGCUUUGCAACAAGAAGCCUUUUUUUUUUUUUUUUUUUUUUUUUUUUUUUUUUUAAAAAAUUUUUUUUUUUUUUUUUUUUUUUUUUUUUUUUUUUUUUUUUUUUUUUUUUUUUUUUUUUUUUUUUUUUUUUUUUUUUUUUUUUUUUUUUUUUUUUUUUUUUUUUUUUUUUUUUUUUUUUUUUUUUUUUUUUUUUUUUUUUUUUUUUUUUUUUUUUUUUUUUUUUUUUUUUUUUUUUUUUUUUUUUUUUUUUUUUUUUUUUUUUUUUUUUUUUUUUUUUUUUUUUUUUUUUUUUUUUUUUUUUUUUUUUUUUUUUUUUUUUUUUUUUUUUUUUUUUUUUAAAAAAAACUUCAAACUUAGUCUCUGAAAAUUGCAAGCUAGUCAAGGUAUAUUUAAUUAUCUGAAAAUUGCAAGUUAGUCAAGGUAUAGUUAAUUGUAUGGCAUAAAAUAAAUCGUCAUGACAAAGGUUUUAGCCACCGAAAUUGUAUUCGUCGUUUAAAAUAAUAUAUUUUUGCCUAAAGUCUAUAUUAUAGUGCUUGGUUGAGGGAAUCGACGGCCGGCCACUGCAACGGUGGUUGGCUGCAUUUGUUUUGUAUAGGGCUAAUUUUGUACUAAGUGAAAGGGUAAAAAAAUGAUAUGGGCAAGGGAUUGGUUGAAUAUGCUGAGCAAUAUCCAUUAGACACAUGGUACAGAUUUCAACUAGUCAAGAACUAAUAAUUUAGUAAGAACUAGUGGCAUUAAAUAGUAAUUAUUCGGUGAAGUUGAGACUCUUAUAACAUUUCGCUUUCUAAGUUGUCGGCUUGAAUCUUGAUGCAAUUAAAAACAAUGAAUCUCUGAACUCUUGGUUAUGGAAAAACUUCUUGCUGUUUCUCUUUCCCGAAAUAAUUAAUGAUUACAAUGUGAUUUAUACAUAAGAAAAGGAUCAACAUGUCGAAGUAAAGCAAAUAUAUACAAUAUAUUAUACUUGAAAUAAUUGUGUAGAAUUGAUAGAAGUGAAAACUUUAUUAAGAAAAAUCAAACCCGUCACUUGCGUUAAGAAAAUUGACGUGGGCAUGCAUGAGAGCUGAAUUGGUUAAUUUAGAGUAAUGAUAGUGAGAAGGAGCUCACUCCAACCCCAGCAAUCCCAUAUGAAAGAGUAAACAGAAGUUAAAAUAAUAAUAAAAUUACUCUAACUUUUGAAUUGAUGGCAAAAUUUUGCACAAUAAAAUCGCUUUGGUGGGAUUGAGGUGAGUCUCGCUAAUUGAUGGGUUGAAUAUAAUUUUUCAUUGUUUAAUGUACAGAUCAGAAAGAUCACAUUUAGUCAUGGCAUAGAUCUUGUUAACUCAAUUGUAUUCAAGCACAUAUUAUUUGACCACAAGAACACGUGGAGUUGAUUAUUCACUUAAUAUUGAGUCCUUCGUAGACAUUUAUUUCCUAGUUGUCAGCUUGAUAAAAUUGAAAGCAGUGUAAUUACCAAGAACGUAAUUUUUUUUAACUUUUUGAAGGAAUUAUAUUGACUUCUUCGAUCUAAUUUGACUGGAAACUAUGCAAGUUAUCAAGUAAUUUACUAUGAAAAAUUUAGAAUAAUUAUUUGGGAAGACUAUAAUGUAUUAAUUAUAUCAUCUAUGGGAAGGAAUUAUAUUUACUUCUUCGGUCUAAUUUGACUGGAAACUAUGCAAGUUAUCAAGUAAUUUACUAUGAAAAAUUUAGAAUAAUUAUCUGGGAAGACUAUAAUGUAUUAAUUAUAUCAUAUAUGGGAAGGCCAGUUCAGACGAGUCGUUGAAACAUGCAGCACCAAUUUUUUUUUUAAUAUGUGUUACACAAUAGGAAAAUCUCAAUAAAUUGAUCAUUUUGAGUAAACUAAGUUUGGUAGUUCCGAGUUCAGACAAAUGGGCCAAAUAAAAUUUUACUAAAUUUAUAAGAUUAUGUACUAUAGAAAAAUAUUUGUAGUUUCAUAUAAGACAACUUACUUUUGGCCUGUUUAAUUCUUAUAAGUUUGAGAUAAUGUUCAAUUUAUAAGCUGAAUUUUGAGUGUGAAUUAGACACAAGCUUCUAUGUGCUAUCGAUACCAAACUCAUCCACAAGUUGAAUCACGCUACCUUUUCAUAUGACAAGGAUUAUGUAGAAAUGCCAACUUGCACGUGACAGAGGGUGUUAAGAGAAAAAUCUCAUAUUAGUUGUAAUGAAUCGUUAGAUAUUUAUAUAAUCCUUUUCAUAUGAUAAGGAUUAUGCCAUGGACUUCUAUAUAGUAUCAUAACCAAAAUCUUGUAAGAGUGGACUCACACUAUUUUACUAGAUGAGAGGGACUAAUAAAAAUGACCACCCUGCAUGUAGUUAGGGAUGAUAGGAAAAUCAUCCAAUGUCAAUUGAGAAAAAGAACUAUAUUUUGAGUAUGAGUUAGGCUUAUGAUAUCAUAGAAAAAUUCAUCCACGUAUGGGCCAUGACAUCUCUAUUUCUCACUGCCAAGAAGCACAUACCUUAAAUUAUUUCAUAGUUUUUUUUUGUGGUUUCAAUUUCAUGCUCCAGUUUUUGCUGUACCAGUUAAUUUAUUUCGUUAUAAGCCAUAAAGGUAUUCCUAUGGUACAUUGAACAACAAUUCUUCAUAACAAUCAGUUUAUGGGGAAGUUUAUAUGUACACAAAAUCCUUGAGUGAAAUAGAGGUUACAACAAACUCAAUUGAAAAUAAAUCUAUCAUAGAAACAAAAAGGAGUUAAUGUGUUAUCCAAUUUCAAGAAUCCUUGGGGUGAACCUGUUGGUGUGCGUUCUAUAGCAACAUUAACCAAAAUAUUGAUGUGCGUGAAUAAGACCAACAGUCUAGUUAAAUGGCACAGGGUAGUAACUUUAAUCGUUCAAAACAUUAGUAGCAAAAAUAUUGCAAAAAAAAAAAAGAGUGAAAGACAGAACAAGCAAUAUAAUAUAGAAAUAAAUAAUGAAAAUAGCAAAUGCAAGUGCCAAAAUAUUUAGCUAUAUGUCUAAAAAUAUUUUACAAAAUAUAUCUAAGAACAAGUGAGAUUACUCCGGAUCCAAAUUAGAGUAAAACUAAGAUGUGAUCACAUAAAAAAUUACACAACAAGCCAUACGAAACUCCGAAAAGGUUGCUGAUCUAAUGAAAAAAAUGUAAUAAUAAGCACACAUGAUCACUAAUAACAUCAUAUGUCAGAAAACUUGAACACACCCAAAAAAAGGUUAUAAAAUCUAAUGGUUUAAAAUAUAGCAAAAACAAGAAAAGAUAGAGAUUUAUAUCUAAAAUCAAAUCUCUCGUUGAGUCCACUCUUUUCGAUCUAUAAAUGCAAGUCAAAAGGAUUAAGAAGAGACUUUUAGCUAUUUUUUCACUCAUAACAGAGAAAACCAUAUCCAAAUUUACUAGAAUUCACUAAACACAAAACUAACAAGAACAUUGGAAUGCCUUCGCAAGUACACGCUCAAGUUAUGAUAAUCUGCGGAGAAAAUGUUGAAGACGAGAAGGAAUCUCACGCAUUCAGAAGAAUCAGGUUUAAUUCAAACAGUUACUUCUUUUAUAUUAUCCGGUCUAUUGAAGGAUGUAGAACUUAAGGUGCUAUAAACAAAUCAAGCAACCUUAGAUCCUACCCAAGAUCACCAACCAAAUUUAUCAAGAUGCUUCAAGAUUGAUAACUGAAGAACUUGACUAAGAUUAAUCAAUGGAAUGUGACAAUUAACCGACUAGAAUUAAGAAAACAAAAGAUAUAGAAUGGACAAAAAACAAGAGAGAUUUAACGUGGUUCAGCUAGAUCUCUCUAGCUUACAUCCACGGGAGGGCAAAUAUGACCAGCUUUGAUUGAUUCUCAAGAUGAUUUACAGAGUAAUGCUAUGAGCCUUUACACAAGAUCGAGACUGCUUAUUUAUUCCAGCCCUUUCUCUCUCUACAACUCUCUAUCCUUUUGAAUCUGUUGCACCAGAAUCAGCUGCUUCAUAACAGCUUCAUAACAAACCCAGAACUUCCCCAGCAACUCACGUGAGUUCCUAAUGCUUUAACGACAUUUAACGAACCUUGUGAGCUGGAUACAAGCACGUGAUGUUCGCAUGCUUCACUUAAGGGUAAAUGGCAAGCUUGUAUAUAGGGGUGGGCGCGGUUUGGUUCCGUUCGGUUUUUUACUAAAUUUUUCAUAAUCGUUCGAUUACGAUUAUUUUAAAAUCAUAAUCGCGAUUAAUCAAAUUAUCGAAAUAAUCAAAUAUUCGAUUAAUUGAAAUAAUUCGAUUCGAUUCGGUUCAAUUAUUUCGAUUAUGGGCUUAUUUUGGGCUUUUUUAAAUUUAAAACCUUAAAUUAAUAAAUCUACCACAAACAUAAAAAGUUAACAAACAAAAAAUCAAAAUAUGUCUCAAAGUAUAUUCAAGAACACAUAACAUGUUCAAAUACCAAGUUCAAAUCAAAAUAAAUAAGCAAAAAGUCUUUUAAACUUUAACAAAACUACAAAAGCAAUAAACAUCAAUCAACUCCCAAAUCCCAAUUACUCCUCUCAGUUGCUUGUUCUUGUUGAGCUACUAUUGGCCUACCAAAUUCUACAUUAACAAAUUAAACAAAAAUAUUAGACCGAUUAGUUAAGAGUGAAAUAACCAAAACAAUAUAUCAAAAUAUAGUAGUAACAUAUUACCUGCUUCAAUGACUUCAUAGAAUUCAGUUUCCUCCUAAGUAGGUUGUAUUAUCUGUUCUACUAAUAGAGUUUAGCGAAGCCAAUUUUAAGUGCAAAUCAAUGACUCAACAGUUUUAUGAGUUAAAGAACUUCUAAAAGGAUCAAGAACACGCCCUCUUGUGCUAAAUGCCAAUUCCGAAGCUACAGUAAACAUUGGAAUUGCCAAAACAUCCUUGGCAAUCUGAGACAAAAUUGGAUACCUAUGCCCAUUCAACUUCCACCAAGUCAAAAUAUCAAAAUGGGCAUUACUAGUACUCUCAUUAGCAUCCGUCAAGUACUUUUCAACACCAUUUUUUGAACUAAUGUCAUCAUUUGAACUUUGCUUCAUCUUUUGAAAGAUGAAAAAAGAUCAAUUGACAUUAUACUACUACUAGCACCACCACCACCACCACCACCACCACUACUACCAUCAUGGAUAUCACCAAAACAAACACCACCACUAUUCCUCACAUCACUCCCACCAAUAUAGCUAUUAUAUAGCUUCAUCAACAACUCUUUAAUGUUAGAUUUCAAUUCUUCAACCUUCCUAAAUUCAUACAUGCUACUAAAACAAACUCCAAUUUACAUAUAGGAUCAAGCACAAUUGCUACAAAUAAUAACAUGUUAACCUAAUCAAAAGAAUCACCCCAAUAUUUAGCAAACUUUUGUUCCAUUUUUUUGGCCAUUUUCCUCAACAAAUCAUCACUAGAAGUAGCAAGUGACUUCAAAUGAAUUAGAACUUUUGCCAUUUCAUUUAAGUAAUCAUUGGAAGUGACAUCAAGAGAGCUACUAAAUUUCAAGGUCAUAUAAUAAAAAACCGAUAAAAAGUUGACUAACCUCCUUGCAUUUCCCCAAUUGUCAUCGCUCGGUGGCCCCUCCCUCUUUUUUUCACCCUCAUCCUCAACAAACCAAUUAACAUAAUGUUGAUCAUCUUCCUUCAUCCUAUCAAAUGUUUUUUCAAACACAGCCGUUUUGUGCAACAUCAAAUAUGUUGAAUUCCAUCUAGUAGGCACAUUCAACACCAUAAGCCCUCCAUAUGAGAUUUUCUCCCUACCAACACAUGUUUUAAACUUUUGCAAUCUUGCUGGAGAGGAUCUAACAGACUUUAUUGCAUUGCGAAUACUAGCUAUUGAAUGAUUCACCUCCGCCAACUCAUCUUGCACAAUCAAAUUUAUUAUGUGUGCCGAACACCUCACAUGCAUAUAUAAACCAUUCAAAACCAUUGAAUUCACACUCCAAUUUGCUAACUUCUUCUUCACAUAAAUUAUUGCAAUUUUAUUGGCACUUGCAUUGUCCACUGUAAUUGUGAACGACCUCUAAAUCCUCCAAUCAAUCAAACAUGUCUCAAUUAGCUUCCCAAUACCAUCUCCUUUAUUAUUAGCUAUAGGUGUGAAACUAAGAAUCCUUUUGUGCAACACCCACUCCGCAUCAAUAAAAUGAGCAGUAAUGACCAUGUAGUUAGACAGUUGAAUUGAUGUCCAUGUAUCUGUGGUAAUACACACCCUUUGCUUGCUUGCACCCAAAACACUUUUUAACAACCCUUUUUCAUACUGAUACAAUUCAAGAAUAUCCCUUGUAAUUGUUCUUCGCGAUGGCACAUCAAAUCUUAGGCAACAAGUUUGCAUAAACUCUAAAAACCCUUCAGCCUCCACAAAGCUAAAAGGUAAUUCAUCCUUGACAAUCAUCUUCACAAGUGCCAUUUUACAAGCCUCUUGACUAAACCCGCCACUAACUUUAACAACUCCAUCAUCUUUAUCUUUUCCCUUUUGACGGAAAAGUAUUUGUUGCUUCAGAUCCCCUUCAACCUUCACAUCUUGAUAUGACCUACAUUUAUCCAAAUGAUUCUUCAAAUUAGUGGUAUUUCCUCUAUUAGCUGCAAAGGUUUUACGGCAAUGAUGACAUUUUCCUUUGUUUCCACAAGGUAGUUUGGUAAAAUGAGCCCAAACAUUUAAUCUCAAAGGCAUUUUUCUUUUUUUUCCCAUCAUCAACCUCCACCUCUUGCACUUCCUCCUCAUCAUAAUUUUCCAUUCUACACAAACACAAAAUCAUUCAUGCAAAAUUGUGGCAAAUCAAAAAUCAGCAGCAACAAAUCAACACAACAGCAACAACAAAUAAAAAAUCUUGGGGAUUAUAAAAUAAAAAAUAUUAUGACAUUGCGGCACAACUCAAAUUUGUGAUCGUUUAUAUUAAUAUGUCUAUCCUAUUAAUAUUAAGGAGAUAUAUCUAUUCAUAAUUUAUUAAGAGAGUAGUAACUUUAGCAAUUUAUACUACAUGAUUCAUGAAUUAACUUUUAUAUACUCUACAUGAUUCAUGAAUUAACUUUAGCAAUUUGUUCAAACAGAAAAAUAGUAUUAAAGUUCUAUAAUAAAAUCACCUUUUCACCCAUUCGAACACUAUAGUUCUGAAUUCUCAUGUCACCACAAGAUAGUUUAACAUGUGAACAUGAGAAAUAGCUUUCUAUAUUUUUUUUUCUUAAAAUCUGAAAAUAUUAGAUGGGUCCAGUGACAUAUAAAGCUAUAAACAUUUAUCCCAAAAAAAAAAAUUUCAAAAUCACUUCAAUCACAUGAAUUAUGCAAGCAAACAAUAAAAUGGAUUGGAUGAAGGUUUUUGGAAAUUGGUUGAACCCUCUGUAGAAUACAAGCAUGAGUAGCUUUAUCAGACCUUUCAUAUUUCUCAACACCUUGGUCUUUUUUUUUUUUUUUUUGCCUGUUGGAAAAGUUCAACAUCUUCAUUGAAGAAAGUGCUCUUACCUUGUGCAUAAAUCAAUCAUAAUCAAUCAAUCAUAAUAACAAUAGCAGCAAUAAUAACAAUAACAAUAAACAACAGCAAGAAGAAAAUGCUUUGCACCUACACAAAUUCACUUUGUCAAGAAAGUGGAGGUGGAGUGCUAAUAAUCUAAUUGUUAGCUUUAGCAAUUAAUUAAUUAUUUCCACCAACAUUAAUAUAACUAUUGGCUCACAGAGCAGAUCAAGUGACCGCAUGUCUCUAUGCACUUGUCCUAAACUCACAUGACAGCGGCUGCAGCACGUGGCUGAGAGUUUUUGUUGACAGCGACUGCAGUACGUGGUAGCAGCGGCGAAGACUCGGCGACGAGCAGCGGCGGGGACGAGCAGCGGCGGCUGAAGGUCACGCAUUCGGUUUCGGCUGAAGAUCAUAAGUGGUGUUUAGUUUAGACUUUAGGGAUUAUUGGAUUGUUAUUCAGUUCGUUUUUUUUUAAACCGAACUGACUGGUUUUACUAUUUUCAUUAUAUUACUUAUUCGGUUUUUUAUUAAUCAGCUUUUUUUGCCCACUCCUACCUGUAUAUCGUUCUGAAGAGUGUUUAACUUGCUCAUCAAAACGCACAUAUCUCUAUCGUUUGGCUUAAGUGAUUCCAGCUUCAAAACACAAGAUCCUCUGUCGUUUUGAGUUUCUGGAUUUGCUUUCAUCAAAACAAAGGAUUUUUUUUAUCUUUCAAUCAACAGUGCCAAUUUCCUAUUGGGAAUGCAGAAGUGACAUUGAUCUGGUCAUAAAUAAUAACCUGACUUGUCCUACAAAUUCAUUUGUACUAAGAGAAAUCUCUGUUAAGUUUGUUUUGAUGAAUGUUUGUUUACUUGAAAAAAAAAGGCAGCACAGAAGAAUAGAAAUUUCAUAAAAUUGUACUUGGAUAAGGAUGGAGAGAGAGAAAUAUUUAUUUCGAGAUGGCAAAGCGUUCAAGAUAGAUAAAUCGUGAGAUAAUGAAGAAUUACAUUAAAUUAAAGAAUGAAGAUAACAUAAAGAACGGUUAACAUCAUUUAAUUAUUAGCUGGGUAUAAAUCAGCAGGCAAGCGGGGCUUUGCACGAGCAUGCAGUGGCUUAGCCAUUAGGAGGUCGCAUUUUGACUCGGAAAGGUCAACCAUCUCCUCAUCCGAUGGCGCGCUCCAAUUAAAACCUUGAAGAAGCCUUGCCAAAAGCAUUACAGACAUCUCGGACCCAAGUGCCAUGCCCAUGCAACCGCGUCUUCCUCUGCUGAAUGAAAGAAAUCUUAAUUCUGGUUCGGUCAACUCUACUUGAUGAUGAUGAUCAUCCGGUGAACCAAUAUGACGUUCCGGUAUGAAUUUCAAUGGAUCUUUCCAGACGUUAGGGUUUCGGCCAAGCCCUAUCCGGCUCAGCAGAACGUGACUGCCUUUGGGAAUGAAGUAACCGGCGACAGUGGCAUCGCGAGUUGAAACAUGAGGCAGGUUAAACGGUGCCACGGGAUGAAGGCGAAGCACUUCCCUUAAACAAGCCUUGAUAUAAUUGAGCUGCGGGACGUCAGAUUCCUGAACAAGUCUUUCUUUUCCAACAACUCUAUCGAUCUCCUCUGUUGCUUUUUGGAGAAUUUCAGGCUGGUUGAUCAUCUCCGCUAUUGCCCAUUCUGCUGCAUUCGAUGGAUUAUCCACUGUUGCAAGUGUCAGAUCCUGCAAGUACGUACAUAUGUUAAUUUAUCGAUCAGUUAAUUUGUCAUUAAAAUUCGAGACCGCGACCUGAUUAUAUAUAACAUGAGCAAUUAAUAAUAUAAAAAUUAAUGUAUUAAAUAAACAAGAUAUCCAACGUACCAUGCAUUGAGAUUUGAUCUCAUCUAUGGAUAACAAUGGAUCCCCAUUUUCAUCCUUUGCUGAAAUGAGAACAUCUAGCAAGUCCAGGUCGUUGUGAGCUUCCUUCUUGUUGUCAUGAUGUCUCCGUUGUUGUACUCUCUCGUCUAUAAUGGAAUCGUGAUACUUGUUGGCAGUUUUCAUGGCCGCACUUACAAUUUUUUCAUGGCCUUCUAGAUCGAAGACUCUCAUCCAGGGAACGUAAUCUGAAAGAGUGAAGGAAUAAAGGUGUUGGAGUGCAACGAAGAGUGAUUCAACGUGUUCUUCUUCUUCAAAUCCGGGACCUCCAUCUUCUUUUCCUUCGCCAAAGUAUCUCCUGUUGAACAUCAUCUUCCUAAUAACGUUCCCGCAAUAAUGGCGGGUCGCAAGUCUUACAUCUACAACUGUUGCGGCAGAAGCACUUUUGCGGCAUUGGUUAUAAAUGAAUCGAACAAUAUUGUCAGCUUCUUCUCUUCUCUUAGAGAUUAAGGAGUUAAGUCGGGCUGAGCUCAACACGUGAGAAGCAACCAUCUUUCUCAUUUUCUUCCAUUGUUGACCCCAUGGCACGACUGCCACUGACAGGAAUCCACGGCUAGAGUACUCUGUCCCCAUUGUGAGCGGCCUCGUUGCAAAAAUUGAGUCGUUAUCUUUUAGAACUUCCAAGGCAAUUUCUGGGGAAGUCACUGGAAUCACAUGAACAUUUCCAAACCGAAUGCAAGAAAUAUUGGUGUUAAGUUCUUUCAUCACACUGUGUAUCCAUUUGAAGGUCGGCUUAUUCCUCCACAUCUCUGGAAGGUUCCCGACUAUUGGCCAUGCAGCCGGGCCUGGGGGCAGAGGUGGUUGCUUCAUUCUUUUCUGGUCCGUACUCUGCUGGACAAAUUCAUUCAUUUUCAAUCAAAUUAGUUUAUAUGUUGAAUAAAAAUAUACAAUUAUUGUUCCUAAUAAAUAAGUAAGGGAAAUCGAAAAAUAAAUAUAGUAUACCUUGAACAGUUGAUUCUGAACGAAUGAAUACAUGUCCAUCACAUACUUCCGAAUAGUUUCGGAUUUCAGCUGAAAGCUUAUUAGUGUAACAACGGCAACAAGUAGUGUCACCCGAACAAUAUAUGUGGAUUCAAAAAUGGGAUUAUCUUCAAGAUAAGAAAGGAAAUCCAUAAUAUUAAUGAAGGCAAUUUUUAUAACGUUCCCGCAAUAAUGGCGGGUUGCAAGUCUUACAUCUACAACUGUUGCGGCAGAAGCACUUUUGCGGCAUUGGUUAUAAAUGAAUCGAACAAGAUUGUCAGCUUCUUCUCUUCUCUUAGAGAUUAAGGAGUUAAGCCGGGCUGAGCUCAACACGUGAGAAGCAACCAUCUUUCUCAUUUUCUUCCAUUGUUGACCCCAUGGCACGACUGCCACAGACAGGAAUCCUCGGCUAGAGUACUCUGUCCCCAUUGUGAGCGGCCUCGUUGCAAAAAUUGAGUCGUUAUCUUUUAGAACUUCCAAGGCAAUUUCUGGGGAAGUCACUGGAAUCACAUGAACAUUUCCAAGCCGGAUGCAAGAAAUGUUGGUUUUAAGUUCUUUCAUCACACUGUGUAUCCAUUUGAAGGCCGGCUUAUUCCUCCAAAUCUCUGGAAGGUUUCCGACUAUUGGCCACGCAGCCGGGCCUGGAGGCAGUGUUAGCUGCUGCUUCAUUGUUUUCUGCUCGCUGCUUCUUCUAUUCU
rnacentral:lncRNA from 1 species